rnacentral:rRNA from 1 species
AGUCUGGUGCCAGCAGCCGCGGUAAUUCCAGCUCUGAUAGUAUACAUUAAAGUUGUUGCAGUUAAAAAGCUCGUAGUUGAAACUUGGGUGUGUAGGGGCGGUCUCUUUUAGAGUACUACCCUGAAACAUCUUUCUUUGGUGUAAACUCUUUAUUCACUUAAGGAGUGUAAACCAAACAUUUACUUUGAAAAAAUUAGAGUGUUCAAAGCAGGCCUUUGCUCGAAUAUAUUAGCAUGGAAUAAUAGAAUAGGACGUAUGGUUCUAUUUUGUUGGUUUCUAGGACCGUCGUAAUGAUUAAUAGGGACGGUCGGGGGCAUCAGUAUUCAGUUGUCAGAGGUGAAAUUCUUGGAUUUACUGAAGACUAACUACUGCGAAAGCAUUUGCCAAGGACGUUUUCAUUAAUCAAGAACGAAAGUUAGGGGAUCGAAGACGAUCAGAUACCGUCGUAGUCUUAACCGUAAACUAUGCUGACUAGGGAUCGGAGGGCGUUAUAAUAACCUCUCCGGCACCUUACGAGAAAUCAAAGUUUUUGGGUUCUGGGGGGAGUAUGGUUGCAAGGCUGAAACUUAAAGGAAUUGACGGAAGGGCACCACCAGGAGUGGAGCCUGCGGCUUAAUUUGACCCAACACGGGGAAACUCACCAGGUCCAGACACAAUAAGGAUUGACAGAUUGAGAGCUCUUUCAUGAUUUUGUGGGUGGUGGUGCAUGGCCGUUCUUAGUUGGUGGAGUGAUUUGUCUGCUUAAUUGCGAUAACGAACGAGACCUUAACCUGCUAAAUAGCUGUAACAAUAGAUUAUUGUUUUGACAGCUUCUUAGAGGGACUAUCGAUUUUCAAGUCGAUGGAAGUUUGAGGCAAUAACAGGUCUGUGAUGCCCUUAGACGUUCUGGGCCGCACGCGCGCUACACUGACGGAGCCAGCGAGUCUAACCUGUGCCGAGAGGUAUGGGUAAUCUUGUGAAACUCCGUCGUGCUGGGGAUAGAGCAUUGCAAUUAUUGCUCUUCAACGAGGAAUUCCUAGUAAGCGCAAGUCAUCAGCUUGCGUUGAUUACGUCCCUGCCCUUUGUACACACCGCCCGUCGCUACUACCGAUUGAAUGGCUUAGUGAGGCUUCCGGAUUGAUUAACUGGAGAGGGCAACUUUUCUGGUUGAACGAGAAGCUAGUCAAACUUGGUCAUUUAGA